UACGUAGGGUGCGAGCGUUGUCCGGAAUUAUUGGGCGUAAAGGGCUCGUAGGCGGUUUGUCGCGUCGGGAGUGAAAACACCGGGCUUAACUCGGUGCUUGCUUUCGAUACGGGCAGACUAGAGGUAUGCAGGGGAGAACGGAAUUCCUGGUGUAGCGGUGAAAUGCGCAGAUAUCAGGAGGAACACCGGUGGCGAAGGCGGGUCUCUGGGCCGUAACUGACGCUGAGGAGCGAAAGCAUGGGGAGCGAACAGG
rnacentral:rRNA from 1 species